GAUGAACGCUGGCGGCGUGCCUAACACAUGCAAGUCGAACGAGGCCCUUUGUAUUCGUACGAAGGUGUCCUAGUGGCGAACGGGUGAGUAACACGUUGGUGACCUGCCCCGAAGAAGGGGAUAACUCCGGGAAACUGGAGCUAAUACCCUAUGUGCUCUAAGGAGUUAGAGGGCUUUAGAGUAAAGGAGCAAUCCGCUUUGGGAGGGGCCUGCGGCCCAUCAGCUGGUUGGUAGGGUAAUGGCCUACCAAGGCUAUGACGGGUAGCUGGUCUGAGAGGACGCACAGCCACACUGGCACUGAGACACGGGCCAGACUCCUACGGGAGGCAGCAGUGAGGAAUAUUGCGCAAUGGGGGAAACCCUGACGCAGCAACGCCGCGUGGGCGAAGAGGGUCUUCGGAUUGUAAAGCCCUUUUCUCCCGGACGAGGAAGGACGGUACGGGAGGAAUAAGCGUCGGCUAACUACGUG
rnacentral:rRNA from 1 species